GUCUUGCAAAGGGGGAUGGUAUAAAGGAUCUGGUUUACAGUGUGAUAUUCUCUGCUCCUCUUUGCACACUGAUAUUAAAUAGACAGUGUUUGACCACAUCAUGGUUAGGAUGAAUGAAAACAUUGAACGGUGCACAGGAAUGUGGAGAAACCAGAAGACGCUGAAAACUCAAAAGCGGUCUGAGAAGAAAAACACAAUGAAACCCAGCUCAAAGUAAAAACGUUAAAUUGACUGAGAAACAGCUUAGUGACGGGAUUUCAUUUCUGUUGGAAAUGUAUGUUAUAGCUAUGGUACCCACUCUGUGGGUUUUUUUCUGCACUCAUUCCUUUAAACAAAGUGUUUGCUGGUACUUAAAAAGUCAUCCCAUUGAGCCCAGAUCCUUCUGUGUUGCACAUGGGUAAGGUGAAGACUCUGUAAUCAACCCCAAUCACAAACGCUUUGAUGUUGCCCCUCUGGAUUGGAUUUAUUGAUAGCUUUUUGCCAGUGCUGUUAUUAAUAUUUUUCUAUGUAGAACACAUAUUAUCCCUUGCCUUUAAUGAAUAACAGCAAGUACAUAGUUAAUAGAUUUCAAGUAAUGAAAAUGAUUGCCCUUUUCGUGGCGACAAUAUUAUUGCCUUACAUUGCAUUACACUAGGAAGUGUUGGGGUAACAAUGUCCUCUUUAUUGAACAAUGCAUGUAGAGGCUCACUGCUGUACUUGGAAACAGCAAACAAACACAACCAGGAAAACAUUAUACGGCCUGGUAGGACAUUGGAGGUAUUAGUCUGAAGUGGUAACCAACGGAGUACUGGAGCCUUGGUCGAUGAAUAACUCAAAUAUGAAUCAACAGACUGAAUUCAUUGAACAUUCAUUCAGACGAUUAGACUACAGCGGUAUUGCCACACAGCAUUUGCUUCCCUAACAUAGCAGUGACACUAUACCCUGUUUAAUAAGCACUAUACUCUGAGAUACAGAGUCUAUCCCCAGCACAUAAAGAUGGACUUUGUUAAACCCUUCUGCCCCUAACUGUGUAUGCUGUUCUCUGUUUAUGUUGCCAUCACCCAAUCAGGGAGCAGCCAUCAUAAUAACCAACCAAACCAGAGACUGGUCAAUAAAAGCCUCCUCAAUGACACUGCU